CCCUCUUUUCUUCCUCAUUCAUCUGCGAUUCGGGUGGGGAGACUUGUGAGUUGCAUUCCAGUUUGCUGGCGUGAUCUGCUUUAUGUUCCCUUUUAGAAGGAGUAUGGGGAAAUGGACCUUGAGUGCCUCCAGAAAUGAGAUUCAAAGUGAAGGACAGUAAAGUGUAUUUUGAGGAUGGUGGUUCAGUUAAGUCAACAGGGGACCUGUGGCUGGAGCAGGAAGCUGUGGGAUGAAGUCGGCUGAAAGGAAUGGAGCUGUCCUUAAACAUCUGUAAAGCAUUUUCAGUAAUGAAGAGUAAAAGCUGACAUCUUUGUCUCUGGAUGGCAAUACUAAAGGGUUGUGACAAACAUGACUUAAUGGAGUCUGCUCAUUGACAGGUGACACCAUCCAUGUCCUGUGACCAUGCUUGGCCGAGGCAUUUAAAGGGUUUGUGGCAGAGACUGCUGGGGUCAGAAAGGACUGACAUCACUAGAUUAAAGAUGCCAGGUGACUGAACCUGAAAAUCUGGCCAUCAGAACAUGGAUUUGAGGCUCUGUGUGUAAAAUGGAGUGGAUGUUACUUUUUACCAGGCUCAAUCGGUUUAUUUUAUAGAUCAGCAACUAGGAAUGCAGUUUAGAACGAUCUACUCAUCUCUCUGGUAACUAGGCUUAGUUAAUUCUCAACUUGCUUGUACUGUAUAGUUAACUUUGUUCAACCUCUUACACUACUGUAUUGCAGCGAUUGAAAGGGGAGGGCGGUGGUGGUUAAUGUAGUCAUUCCUUGGUUGUUAUUUCCUGAAUA